GUGGGGAAUCUUGGGCAAUGGGCGAAAGCCUGACCCAGCGACGCCGCGUGGGGGAGGAAGUCCCUCGGGACGUAAACCCUACAAGUGAGGGACGAAUAAGUGAGGGCAAAUACCCCUGAUGAUGACGGUACCUCAUGUAAGCCCCGGCUAACUACGUGCCAGCAGCCGCGGUAAUACGUAGGGGGCUAGCGUUGUCCGGAAUUACUGGGCGUAAAGCGCGCGUAGGCGGCUAGGCAAGUCGGUUGUGGAAGCCCCAAGCUCAACUUGGGAAUUGCGACCGAAACUGUUUGGCUUGAGCACGGUAGGGGGUGCUGGAAUUCCUGGUGUAGCGGUGAAAUGCAUAGAUAUCAGGAGGAACACCGGUGGCGAAGGCGGGCACCUGGGCCGUUGCUGACGCUGAGGCGCGAAAGCUAGGGGAGCAAACCGGAUUAGAUACCCUAGUAGUCC
rnacentral:rRNA from 1 species